AUACGUAGGUGGCAAGCGUUGUCCGGAAUUAUUGGGCGUAAAGCGCGCGCAGGCGGUCCUUUAAGUCUGAUGUGAAAGCCCACGGCUCAACCGUGGAGGGUCAUUGGAAACUGGGGGACUUGAGUACAGAAGAGGAAAGCGGAAUUCCACGUGUAGCGGUGAAAUGCGUAGAGAUGUGGAGGAACACCAGUGGCGAAGGCGGCUUUCUGGUCUGUAACUGACGCUGAGGCGCGAAAGUGUGGGGAGCAAACAGUAUUAGAUACCCUGGUAGUCCACGCCGUAAACGAUGAGUGCUAAGUGUUAGGGGGUUUCCGCCCCUUAGUGCGGCAGCUAACGCAUUAAGCACUCCGCCUGGGGAGUACGGCCGCAAGGCUGAA
rnacentral:rRNA from 1 species